rnacentral:piRNA from 1 species
UAUGAUUAACAUGCACUGGAGCAGAG